CUACAUCGUGCUUCAGACAAAUGUAAAUCUUCAUUGUUAGAUGAUUCUAGAACAGUUGUAUCUGAAGUAACUGUUGAUAAAAUGGAAGUCGUAGUGUAUGAGGCAGAAAUUAUGGAGGAUAGAGGAGAUAUUGUUUUAGAUGAGUCUGUCACAACACUUCAACCUUCAAUGGACGAAGAUGUCUUAAAGAGUAGAGUGGAUGUGGUGGAAAAUGGAGAAGAAAUUGGUAUAUCUAUUAUGUAUAUUUUAUAUAACA
rnacentral:lncRNA from 1 species